rnacentral:rRNA from 1 species
AAAUUGAAGAGUUUGAUCAUGGCUCAGAUUGAACGCUGGCGGCAGGCCUAACACAUGCAAGUCGAACGGUAACAGAAAGCAGCUUGCUGCUUUGCUGACGAGUGGCGGACGGGUGAGUAAUGUCUGGGAAACUGCCUGAUGGAGGGGGAUAACUACUGGAAACGGUAGCUAAUACCGCAUAACGUCGCAAGACCAAAGAGGGGGACCUUCGGGCCUCUUGCCAUCGGAUGUGCCCAGAUGGGAUUAGCUAGUAGGUGGGGUAACGGCUCACCUAGGCGACGAUCCCUAGCUGGUCUGAGAGGAUGACCAGCCACACUGGAACUGAGACACGGUCCAG